rnacentral:rRNA from 1 species
GACGAACGCUGGCGGCGUGCUUAACACAUGCAAGUCGAACGGAAAGGCCCUGCUUUUGUGGGGUGCUCGAGUGGCGAACGGGUGAGUAACACGUGAGUAACCUGCCCUUGACUUUGGGAUAACUUCAGGAAACUGGGGCUAAUACCGGAUAGGAGCUCCUGCUGCAUGGUGGGGGUUGGAAAGUUUCGGCGGUUGGGGAUGGACUCGCGGCUUAUCAGCUUGUUGGUGGGGUAGUGGCUUACCAAGGCUUUGACGGGUAGCCGGCCUGAGAGGGUGACCGGCCACAUUGGGACUGAGAUACGGCCCAGACUCCUACGGGAGGCAGCAGUGGGGAAUAUUGCACAAUGGGCGGAAGCCUGCUGCAGCAACGCCGCGUGCGGGAUGACGGCCUUCGGGUUGUAAACCGCUUUCGCCUGUGACGAAGCGUGGGUGACGGUAAUGGGUAAAGAAGCACCGGCUAACUACGUG